GAUGAACGCUGGCGGCGUGCCUAAUACAUGCAAGUCGAGCGAACCACUUCGGUGGUGAGCGGCGAACGGGUGAGUAACACGUAGGUGAUCUGCCCAUCAGACGGGGACAACGAUUGGAAACGAUCGCUAAUACCGGAUAGGACGAAAGUUUAAAGGUGCUUCUGGCACCGCUGAUGGAUGAGCCUGCGGCGCAUUAGCUAGUUGGUAGGGUAAAGGCCUACCAAGGCGACGAUGCGUAGCCGACCUGAGAGGGUGAACGGCCACACUGGGACUGAGACACGGCCCAGACUCCUGCGGGAGGCAGCAGUAGGGAAUCUUCGGCAAUGGGCGAAAGCCUGACCGAGCAACGCCGCGUGAAUAGAUGAAGGCCUCGUGUAGUAUAGUAUAGUAAGUAAG
rnacentral:rRNA from 1 species